rnacentral:rRNA from 1 species
GUCUAUGGCCAUGCUACUCUGAACAAGCCUGAUUCCAUCUGUUCUCGGAAGCUAAGCAGAGUUGGGCCUGGUUAGUACUUGGAUGGGAGACCACCUUGGAAUACCAGGUGCUGUAGGCA